UACAGAGGUCUCAAGCGUUGUUCGGAUUCAUUGGGCGUAAAGGGUGUGUAGGUGGCGCCGUAAGUCGGGUGUGAAAUUUCGGAGCUUAACUCCGAAACUGCAUUCGAUACUGCGGUGCUUGAGGACUGGAGAGGAGACUGGAAUUCAUGGUGUAGCAGUGAAAUGCGUAGAGAUCAUGAGGAAGACCAGUGGCGAAGGCGGGUCUCUGGGCCAUUACUGACGCUGAGGAGCGAAAGCGUGGGGAGCGAACAGG
rnacentral:rRNA from 1 species